rnacentral:rRNA from 1 species
GUGAGGAAUAUUGGUCAAUGGGCGAGAGCCUGAACCAGCCAAGUCGCGUGAAGGAAGAAGGAUCUAUGGUUUGUAAACUUCUUUUGAAGGGGGAUAAAGUGCGUCACGAGUGAUGCAUUGCAGGUACCCUUGGAAUAAGCAUCGGCUAACUCCGUGCCAGCAGCCGCGGUAAUACGGAGGAUGCGAGCGUUAUCCGGAUUUAUUGGGUUUAAAGGGUGCGUAGGUGGCUUUUUAAGUCAGCGGUGAAAACUGGCGGCUCAACCGCAAGAGUGCCGUUGAAACUGGGGAGCUAGAGUAUGAACGAGGUAGGCGGAAUGUGUGGUGUAGCGGUGAAAUGCAUAGAUAUCACGCAGAACUCCGAUAGCGAAGGCAGCUUACCAGGCCAUAACAGACACUGAAGCACGAAAGCGUGGGGAUCGAACAGGAUUAGAUACCCGUGUAGUCC